UUUAGCGCUACCUGCAGUGUUUUUUACAAGUAACAAAGAUGGCGUCGCCAGACAUGUUGACACAAGUCCCAUGGCGCAUCACGCGGUUGGAACAUUGUUCAUCUCUGCCAAAACUUGAAAAGUAACUCAUCAAUCGUGCCUCCAAGCUUUCAAUUAGUGUUAUUACUAUUAAUUACGAAAAAGUGAUAGUUUUUUGGUGAAAAUCAAUUGUUAAAAAAAUUAUGUCGCCAGUGAAAAGUGAAAUUAAUUGUUGUGCUAUUGAAAAACGACAUCACCCAAAAAGAAGAAUAACAAGAAGAUAAAACUAGUGAAUUUAUUAUUUAGAAAUAUUAAAUUCAUUGCCAGAGUUUGGAUAAACAUUAAAUAUUUAUGUUUUAACUUAAAUUAUAAAAAUUUGUCAUAAUUGGAACAAAAAAUGAGACUGAGUGUGUUUCAACCGGUACCCAUAAGGAUUCAACCAAGGAUGCGGAGGACAACAUAAUUCAACCAAGGAUUCAAUACGGAUGGACCAAUGAUCAAGGAUAGAGGAAGCCAAUCAACGCAGCCAACAAUAAAGGAUCAAGGAUUCAAAGGAUUCAAGGAUGCCACGAUUAAGCCAAGGAA